AUACACCAUGCCUUUUUAGGUGAAGAAAUUUGAAAGGUUAUUGAACCUUGUUUAUAAAAGAUUUUAAGCAAAAGACUUGGAAAACCUCGAUUUGAUUUUUGAAAAUGGUUUUGACAAACCAAGUUUGUUGAGUGUAGGCCGGCUGUCACUUCGGUUAAUUGUGACCCUCGUGCAUGAGUGAGCUCUAUCUAGAGAACCUUUGGGUCGUCGACGGGCAGUUAAGCGUGGCAAGGGCCACGAUUUGUGAUAUGUAUACGUGGCUAGGCCAUAAGUGAUCUGGUAGAGUGAGACUCUCGGAUGUGCGUGGUAGCGACAGCUUGAUUUUCCGAUAUCGGCCAACAUUGUGGAGGCUGCCAUGGCUAUGAGAAUCCGGUGGAGUAAGACUCCCGAAUUGUUAUUACGUGGAAGUAGGUCCACGUGUUGAUAUUAUACUUUCCUACUCAAGAGCCUUGUGAGUUUUCAACGCGUACUCUCUUGCAUGGUGGAGAGUUAAGAUUUUCUUUGCAACUCUCAUUGUUUAAAUAAAAGCUUUCAGUUCUUACUUGACAAACAUGAGUUGAUUUAGGUGGUUGUACACUUUGAUUUCUUUACAUGCCAUGCUUACCUUUAUACUAUAUUUCAUAUUUUGAUGGCAAUGAUGUUUUCGGUGAUUGAAACUCUUUUUGUUACACUUAUUUUCAGCACUGUUUUGCCAAAGAAAACAUUGUAUUAUGAUUUUACGAUAUUAUUUUUACAAG
rnacentral:lncRNA from 1 species